UUAAACUGAUGAUCUAUAAUCCGGAAAAAUCGAUAAUCCGGAAUCGCCGAAGUCCCGAAGAGUCCGGAUUAACUAUUUUUGACUGUAUUUGUGAAGUGUGUGUAAGGAAACUUUUAAUGAACAACACUAUCUUGAUAGUCAUUUAAAGUUGUAUAUUAUUGCACAGUCAUAUUAAUGUACAGUGUUUGUGGUAUCAAUUUGAAACGUAACCUUGAAUUGCUAAGUUAUUAUUAUGGUCAUCUGCAUUCACAGUGUUUUUUUUUUUUUUUUUUUUUUUUUUUUUUUUUGUGUAAAAGUUGGAAGUUUGAUGUCAUAUUACAUUGAUAAAAAAAUUAUUUUAUGUUGCAAAUCAAAAAUGUAUUUUUAGAUGUGGUUUUGAAUUAGUUCUUGGGGUGUUUUGUUAAUUUCACAUAAAUUUUUCUAUGCUAUUAUAAUAGCUUGAUAUUUAAUGCAUAAUAAGUGAGUAGCAAAUGUGAAAUUAUAUAUGAGUUAAGACUUUUUGAAGUUUUUAUGUCAUUUGCUAAAUUUGCAAGUCUUCUAAAAAUGUAUGAAGGUUAUUUUUAGAAGUGAUUUUAUUUCCUUGCAUAAUUCCUGUUUUCCUGACACAAAUUGUGUUAUAUAUCACUUUGUAUGGGGUGGAAGCGAGUAUGUCCAUGACUUUAAUUAGUAUCAGAAAUUUAUGAGCAAAAUGGUUGCUUAUUGUUAAAUUCUCUGAAAUGUAGAAGAAGGCUGAUCGUAAUAUUUUGUUCUCAUGGUGACUUGUUAGAUAAUGUGAACGUGCUGCUGUUGUGUAUGCUAAUGUAUAAGUGAAAGAAUGUUUCCUAAGGAUUGCUGCUGCUACCAUGCAUUUCAAAACUGUUACUCUGUUACAACAUGUAUUUUCAGAAGUUUAUGCUGCCUUGGUGCUUGCUAAUUUAUGAGAAGUUAAAUUUAUUGAUUGCUUUUUGUGUAGCAAAUUUCGCUCUUUUCUUUCAGUACUUUGAUACUUAUAUAGUACUUUGGUACUUAAUAUUAACACAAACACCUUGGCACAAUCCUAUGAUUUUUUGCAGAUGAAAAGGUGAAAGUGGUAGGAUGCAAGUUGGUUUUUUUUUUUUUUUUUUUUUUUUUUUUUUUUUUUUUUUUUGCUACUUUUUUCAAAAAAGGUUCUUAAAGCAUGGAUAAUAAUUUUAAGUUGGUAAACAUUAUCAACAUAAUGAAAAGUCAACAUACUUUGAUUAUUGAAAGUAAGAGUUUUAAUUUUUAAAUAAGGAUUACAUGAUAUAUUAAAUAAAUAAAACACAUUUGUCUCCGAAUCUUUCUGCAUUUUUCUUCCCCCCCCCUCAACUACACAGUAGUGAUCUGUUUUCACUUAAAAAAAAGUCGGAGACUUGACGUCGCUCAAACCUUGGCAGCACUGCCUAUCUAUAAAAUGUAUCUCUUCAGAGAUUUUACAGAAAAGAAAUCUGUAUUCCUUCAAAAAUUUCCCUAGUUUCUUCCAUUGUUGACAAAGUCCACAAGCACAUGUUUUAAAAUUAAGAGCAAAAAUACCACGGAUUUUCUCUAAAAUUUUUUGGAACUUGGAAUACAACAAAAAGAACGCAUAUGAAACUGGCAAUGUUGCUUAACUGAAGGAUUGUUAUGAGAGUGGUCUUAGCAAGGAUGCCAGUGUUUGGCACAUUCUGAAAAUCUCAUGACUUCUACUAAGGUGGUUGUGAUAACACGUCACCAAAUUCCAAUGAAGAGUGAAGUCAUCUGUUGUCCCUUUUGCUUAUAACCAAACUCAAGUUAGAACGGGGGUCUUCAGCUGUCCCUUCUGCUCAUAUGUGCCUGAAAGAAACUAUGAUCUUCAGUGUAGGUGUGAAGACGUCCGUACUGAUUUUUCCAUUUUUUAUUGAUUAUCAACAAUUCUUCUUUGCAGCAAAGAUAAGUUAGCUCCAGCAGAAUUUUUUGGAUGCAUAUGCAUCUGUUUUUCCAUGAAAUAUUUUUCUGUUAUAUGAUUAUGUAUUAAGGUAUAUUAUAUACGAUCAUAUUUUUAUUAUUAUAUUAUCAUAAUUAUUAUGGAUGGCAUUUUGGAAUUAUAUCUUUUGUGGGCACUGCUGUUUGGAGGGAACCAAAAGAAACAACUUUUGAAAACGUGUCUUAUAAUCUAUUUUUGUAUUUCUUUUCUUGUCGAAAAAUUGCAAUUUGUACGAGUUGUAUAUCUAACAAAAAUUAAAGAUCUGAUUAAAAAUCAGUUUUGAGAAUUG
rnacentral:lncRNA from 1 species